rnacentral:tRNA from 1 species
GGGGAUGUAGUUUAGAUAGUAGAGUGCUGACUUAGCAUGCGAGAGGCACCGGGAUCGAUACCUGGCAUCUCCA